rnacentral:lncRNA from 1 species
UGUACUCUUAGAGAGUUUGAACUCUCAAGACUUUGCUUAGAGUAAGAUGAUUAGUAAAACAAUAAGUAAAUAUGUAAUACUAAAAUAAACAAAGCAGAAAGUAAAGAGUAGAGUUUAAGAGAGAUCACACAAAGAAGUUAUCCUGGUUCCCCCAAUAUGGGUUAGUCCAGUCCCCACAGCUUUUGUGAGAUUAUCCACUAGUUCUUGGGAGUUUCUUCCUCCUCUUUGCAAUGUGCAAAACAAUAUGUAU